rnacentral:rRNA from 1 species
AUGAAUGCGCACCUCAGCUUUGAGGAUGGCUGGAAGGUCCUGGAGCAGGGCAUUGUGACAUGUUCAAAGAUUUUGGAGGGAUCCACUGGUACAAGGCCUACUGUUGCUGAGUACAUGAAUUGCUAUGACUGUGCUUAUAGAAUGGCUGUGCAGACAACCAGCUAUUGUGAAGAGAUGUACAAUGGUUACAAGGCUACACUUGCAGAAUCUGUUCGUGCACUGGUUUGCCCCCAUCUGAUGCACCAGAGAGACGGCUACCUUUUGAGACAGCUUGCGAAAAUGUGGUCCAACUAUUGUAUCAUGGUUAAAUGUGUAUCUGGCUUCUUCAACUAUUUGGACCGUUGCUUUGUUGAGCAAAGAAAGCUACCUUGUCUUGAAGACACUGCUGCCACUUCUUUUUUCUCUACAGUCUUUUCCUUCUUCAGUCAUGAAGUAUCAGACGCUCUGCUGACUUCGAUUCGCCAAGAGCGUGAUGGAAUCAAUGUUGAUAUGGACAUCUUGAUGGGCAUUAUGCGUGGCAUAUGUCGCUCUGAAGUCAAAUCCUUCAUGAAAAAUGCUGUUGUUCAAGAUACAUAUGCUUACUACUCCAGGAAAAGUUCUGAAUGGAUUGUUCAGUACCCUCUACAAGAUUACCUUGCCAAGGUUCAGGAUUGUAUGGAGAAGGAAACCAUGAGAUUGAUGAGCUAUCUGUGUAUUGCUGAGGGAGAUAGCACAGAGCUCUGUUUGAAGGUUGUUAGUGCUCCAUUGAUGCAAACUUAUGACAGCUAUGCAAGAGAGAAACAGAUUGGUGGCCAACUUUUGCUUCAAACAUACAAGACUGUAGAGGAUGAUCUGCUGGCCAGAUGCAGUCGCUUGACAAUUGACAGCGGUGUGGACAACAGUUCUGGCAGUUACAUGGAGUAG